CAUUAUCAAUAUCAGCGGACUUCGGUCCCUGCUAUACCCUUGUCUUUUGCGUACCACACGUUUCCUCGGCGGGCUUGCCUGCCGAUAGGACAACCAUAAACCCUUUGUAGUUGCAAUCAGCGUCAGAAAAAAACAAUCGUUAAAACUUUCAACAACGGAUCUCUUGGUUCUGGCAUCGAUGAAGAACGCAGCGAAAUGCGAAAAGUAGUGUGAAUUGCAGAAUUCAGUGAAUCAUCGAAUCUUUGAACGCACAUUGCGCCCCUUGGUAUUCCAUGGGGCAUGCCUGUUCGAGCGUCAUUUGUACCUUCAAGCUAUGCUUGGUGUUGGGUGCUUGUCCGCCAGCGGACUCACCUGAAAGCUAUUGGCAGCCGCCGCGAUGGCAGCAGAGCGCAGCACAUUUUGCGACCUUGCUCCCCGCGUCGGCAUCCACAAGCCCUUUUCAACGUUUGACCUCGGAUCAGGUAGGGAUACCCGCUGAACUU
rnacentral:rRNA from 1 species